GACUUCCCCAUAUUUCAGUCCCUCCAGAAAAACGUGAUUUUUUUUUGUGAUUGUUGCAGGCAAAAAUCCUUGAUUAUGCGGCAAGUUUUCUUAAAAAAUGCGAUGGAAUAUGCGGAAUAUUUUUGCAAUCUUAUGCGAUGAAAUUGCGGGAACUUGCAAAAACUACGGUUUGAUGAAAAAGAGAAAAAAAGGUGACCCCCCCCAACACCCUGUUCUCACUAGGCUACUACCUUACUGUAAAGAGUCAAACAAGUUCUCUAGCUUUACAAAAGGAAUAUUCAACUACUUCUGUAAAAAUGAAUACAAAUAAAAUAUACACACAAAUAUACAAAUGCUGUUUUACAGGAAUUGCAAAGUGCAAUCUCUUAUUGCAAUGUAAAUUAUUUUACAUCCUACUAAUAUACUUACAACUGUAAGGUUUUGGUACUAUUCUGUAACAAAAAAGUAGAGGUGCAUCAACUUCUGAAUGAAACCACAACAGUCCAUUGUGAAAAUGAAAAAUAACUGCGUAGCCUUUAACAUGGCCUAUCAUUCGCCAUACUCAUCCUCAUACCUCUCUCCAAAUAAUUUGCCCCCCACUGUCAUGUAACACACCGGGUAACUGCUUCGCGCGGUCUUUUGCGCUUAUUUUUGUUGGCAGAUGAGAAUGAUUUGCGGCCUUCACCCUGGUUUCACCGCGGGCUUCACAGAUGAUGUUCACCUCGCGCAAUUACGUCACUUCAUAAGGUUCUCAUUUGGGAAAUAAUGGCGAUUUACUUGUGUGAAGUAAACGCAACAUUUUUCAACUUUCUGCUAAGAUAUAUGUGACUUUUUUUUGCAAUGAAAAUUAUUAUGAUUAUGAAAUCAUGCGACCUCCGCAUAUUUUGCUUCCUGAAAUCGGGAUUUUAUGCGGCGAAAGUGCGGCGUAUUUAAAAAAAUGCGACCUCCGCAUAUAUGCGGCCCUUGGCUGAUUAUGCAUUAAAUCACGCGAUCGCAUAAUCGCGUUUUUCUGGAGGGACUGCAUUAAUAUUAAUAGACCCAAGCUAUUCACAGAUAUUGUCAGAUAAUAAUUUUACCUCUACCAUACUUUAACAGACUUUAAUCAUUUGUGAUUUUGUCUGUCAUCCUUUUCUUGUCUUGAGCCUUCACUUUGCCAAUUAUAUGCUAUAUAUUUAGUAGUCUGGAUAGCCCACAUUCAUUAUGGAACAUCAAAUUGCC
rnacentral:lncRNA from 1 species